rnacentral:lncRNA from 1 species
AUCGGACCCUCUCUAUCUCUCUAUAUAUACAUAGAGAGAGAGAGAGAGAGUCCGAUUGGAAUAUUUCUAAUAAUACCAAGCACUCGAUAUUAUUAAGUUUACUAUCAUUAAAUAAUCUUUUGAUCAAUUCUAUUCCUUAGAUUAUGCUAUUCUACCAACUAUCUACUAUAUAAAUCUUAGAGGAUCAAUACCAAAUUCUAGAGGGCUAUUAUUAUUCUAACCCUAGAUAUACGUAGUUGAGUUAGAAUACUAUCGAUAGUAAACUAACUAGAUUGCUACUGAUUUAUUUUCGAUGGUGGAUCCUCCCAUUCGACGAUUGACACCAAUGAACACAAUUUCGACUACUCGAAAAUUUCAAAUCUUUUCGACAUUAGUGACCUAAUGAUCAAAUGGUAGCAACAUUUAUAAUUUUAAUAGUCGAUACGAGACAUUAUCUCGUGUAACUGUGUACAAUUAGAAUUCAAAUCUGUUGAAUAUUUGUUAAAAUUUUUUUAAAAAUAUUUAUAAAAAAAAUCUACACUUUUUAUCUUUAUUAUAAAAAUUCUAUUAUUAUUUUUUAAAGAAUAUUUAUCUUCAGCCGUUCAUUUUUAUGUCCACUUAAUGCAUAAAAGAGUAAUAUCGAAAAAAAUUUAAAUUUAAUUUUUAGAUAUUUAAAGUAGUCUAAAUAAUAUUCAACAAUGUCGUCCUUCGAUUCGGAUAUUAUAUUUAGAAGGUGGUUAAGUAUAAAACAUAAUAUAAUAAUAAGAGUCCGGCUAUAAUACUAUCGAUAGCACCAAACAUUUAGUGCCAUCAAGUUUUUUGUCGUUAGAUCAAUUCCUUUGACCAUUUUCAGCCGUCAGAUCUAUUGGAUUUUAUUGGGUUUAUUGGGUUUUUUGUGAUUUAAAACUUAUUAAAGCCUCUUAAGAGCCCAAUAAUUAUUAAUGGGCCGCUUGGGAGCCCAACUAAAAUUUUUAUGUGUGAUGUUUAGUCCCACAUUGAAAACUAAAAGGGUGUCUGUGGUUUUUAUAUAUUUCUUUAUUCUCAAACUAGUUGCUUGGAAGAAAAUGAAAGUAAUGCUCUUGUUUAAAUACACACGCACGGCACGAGUAUGAGCCGAGCCGGGUGAGCGGCGGCGCGCGCGGUCCAUACACCCGAUUUAUUUUAUCUUUAUUUUAAUCAUUAUCUUUAUCUUUCGAUUUAUUUUAUCUUUAUUUUAAUCAUUAUCUUUAUCUUUAUUCUAAUCCUAAUCCGUAUAAUCGUAGGUUUAUCUUGUUCUACACGGAUUUGACGCGUUGGAGCAAGAUUCUCGCCUUAAUUAUAAAUAUUGGGCGAUGUUGCACGAGUUGAGAGAGAACCCGAGCAUACCUAAACCCUCUCGUCUUUUCCUACUUUCUCGCUAUUAAUCGUUUCCGCCGAUUUUCUCUUUGCUGAAUCUGAAGCUUGUUGGGUUCAUCUUGCGCCACCUUGGAAGCGUGCCGACUAGGUGGAACGUGGUUGAUUUUCUCUUUGCUGGAUCUGAAGCUUGUUGGGUUCAUCUUGCGUCACCUUGGAAGCGUGCCGACGGGGUGGAACGUGGUCGUUGUAUCGCUAGGAGUAAUUGCCGGAAAGCCCGCACAUGGAGGGGCAAUUUCGCUUCUAGGACAGUACUCUGCACGCCUCGAUUCACAGGUCUUAUCUAAGCCUUUUAUUUACAGUAUUUGUUAUUUAAUUUUGUUUCCGAAUUUUUCUAAAUCUGAAAUUUAAAUUUUAGAAUUGAUUUUUAAAGAAUAUUAUAAUAAAAAAUCAGAACGAAAUUUUCCAACAAGAUCAUACUAUUCAACCAACCACCCACUCAACUCUAAGGGAUCACUAUCAUCCUAACCAUACAUCGCUUUAUCCAAGGACCGUACUUAAUAGCAUAAAUGACUUGAUGCUAUUAAUAAUAUUCUAGCCUAGUUCAUAAUAAUAAUAAUAAUAAUAAUAAUAAUAAUCUCCAUUUUAGGGCUAAAAUGUAAAAAUAAAAAAGAGAUAAUUGCUUAUAUAUUUCUCAAAACUUCGAAAUAUCUCAUUUACCCAUAUUUUUUUUUCCUUUCCAAUAUACCCCUCGUAUGCUCCUCCCUUAUUUCAGAAUGCCCCUACAGUUAUCACUCGUUAAAUUAAUUUGGAUUAAACGUGAGUUAUGCCUCUUUUGCCCUCAACUUAAGGGCAAAAUAAAAUACUGGUGAUGGUAGAAAGGUAUUUUUGAAAAGAUCAAAAGUCAAAUACAUGUUAUGUCCCUAACUUAAAGGUAAAUAAGAAAAGUCGGUGACGAUAGAAGAAUAUAUUUUUUAAAAGGACAAAAUAGUAAUUUUAUAGAGAUAACGGCUAUUACUAAUAGUUCAUUAACAGAAUUUAACUCUAGAAAUAUAUUUAAAAUAGAUUGAAAUUUAAAAUAAUAUUUAUUUUUAAUAUUAACUUUUUAAGAAGGAUAAAUCAGAAACUCGAAAAUUUUUCAAACUU